rnacentral:rRNA from 1 species
CGACUAAGCGUACACGGUGGAUGCCCUGGCAGUCAGAGGCGAUGAAGGACGUGCUAAUCUGCGAAAAGCGUCGGUAAGGUGAUAUGAACCGUUAUAGCCGGCGAUGUCCAAAUGGGGAAACCCAGUGUGAUUCGUCACACUAUCGUUAACUGAAUACAUAGGUUAACGAGGCGAACCGGGGGAACUGAAACAUCUAAGUAAAAGAAAUCAACCAAAUCAACC